GUGCCCAGGAGUGGAAACAGUUAUGAUGGACAGAAACCAAAAGAGAGAUUUCUGUAGGAGAUCAGAUGGCAAAUCAUUUUCUCUGCUGGAUGCCCCAGAAUUGAGUACAAAAAGGAAGAUCCAAAACAAGCAGAUCAUCACCAACCUCCGAGGAGUCUAGGAGACAUGCUGGUGGAUAGCUGAUGUCUUCAUCCUUCGUGUCCUCACAAGGGAUCCUAGAGUAGCCACUUGGAGAUACGCAUCUUGAUGCCUGCUGAUGGCCUGGCUGCUUGGACAUGCUGCCUCGUCACAGAUAAUCAGUUCACUGCUUUUUUAUCUCCAUAAUGUCCUGGUGACUUCUUAAAGAAAUGAGACCUGACUAACUUGCACAAAGUCACACAGAAAACUGGUGGCAGCACAGAGGACUGAGCUGAGGAUUUGUUGGCAUGGCAGACCAAAAAAACACAUUUGGGCAAGAUUCAAGCAGAUACCAGCCCAGCAGCUUCAAGUGCUCUCAUUCACAAGCAAUCAGUCAAAAUCUCGUUGUUGAGUUUGGUGGCACCGACAUCAAAGGUACAUAAUUUUUCAUUGUGUGUCCCCACUGAUGUCACCAUUGCAAAGCCUGAUGCAGGACAGAAAGAGCAGAUCCUGCCAGUUUUCACUGCCUGUAUUUGGCAGCACACAGAAGUUUUGUGAAGAGCUUUGCCAGAGGUGAGGUGAUGUUGGACACUUGUGAUAGCACUUCAAUAAGAUGUGGCACUCACUAACUUGACCUCAGGGACAACACUGAGACUUUCUGGGAGUUCAUUGCUAAGCUGCCAUGCUACUUAAAUAGCUUUAUGCCAUUUUUUUUUUUUUUUUACUUCUUGCUCUUUUAUCUGCUUUUCCAUGCAAAGACAUCCAGUAUGUCUCUUGGGCUGUCUUUUCUAUUCCAAUGUUGAUCUGCUACCAUAUGCUCCUGAAGAUGCUGCUGUGGUCCUCAUCUAGCCCUGAGAAUUGCCUGAGCCUUGGAUAGGCUGAGGGAGGUAUGAGGGCAUCAGAACCACACAGUACAUGGGUGACACAUGUCCUUACAACACUCAAGCAUGUGAGCAACAAAACAUUAUGCAGGAGAUAAUGACCCUUUUGCAUACGAUUAAAAAAAUCAGCCAGUGACAUUUCAGCCAGCCAGGAUGGCUUGAGCAGCUUCCACCUGUCUAACCCUGCCUUUGAAAUAAGGCCCUCCUUAUACUGCAAGAAAAUUAACUGAGGAGGAAGAGGGAAGUGGCAGGAACAUUCUUACAUUUAACAUCUGUUAAUGAAAGAUCAUUUUAUCAACUGCAAAACCAAGAAUAGUCAGUCUCCAGCUUCCCAAGCUUGUGAUGCCACAGUGCUUCUCAGAUUUGUGUUCCCUGUAGGAUGACACUGAUGAGGUGAAAAGGCAGUUUAGUUUCAAGAAGAUUAUUGCCUCACAGCACAGGGAAGAUAGGAACUUCAGGGCUUGAAUCUGAGCUUGACAGCCUCUUCUAUGCAUGUCAGAUGUCCUCGUCCAAACUCCAGCCCUCCCUCCCUUCCUUCCCUGCCACAAGACCAUAAUAACAAACCAACCAGAGCUGUCACCCAAAGGAGUAAAAGAGAGAGCUGGCUGAUACCAUUUUGAUGGUGAAGCAUAUGCACCUGGAUGGACGGUGUAUACAGCAUAACCCUCUGUUUCCUGAGAAAGAGGUGAAAGAUCAGUUAUGGGACCUGAAAGCAGGGAUGCCUCCAGUGCAAUUGAGAGAGCUCCAGAUUCCACAGCUCUGCCUCAGACAAAGAACAGCUGCCUGGAUUGUUUGUUGACACUUGCACCACAGUGUCAGUGCCACUGUGCUGCAGGAGAGGAUCUCAUCUCCAAACCAUGCUGGAUUAUUGGCUGGAGGUCAGCACCUUUCUUCCAAAAAGUACCAUCCAACUUUGAUUUUCACCAUCCAGAUCUGCAGAUCGACACCCUGAAGCAAUGUUCUUCCUUGACUCUGGUACUUCUACCCCGAUGAUCAGUUUAGCUGGUAAAGAAUUUUUAUAACAUGAAGAAACAUAUGAAGAAAUAGAGACCUAGCAAACCAAAAUAUAACUAGUGCCCAGUUGCUUCUUUAUCUGGCUGUGCUUUAUUUGCACAAGCUGAAGAACUUCAUGGUGCCAGGGGGAAUGUGACAGAAGUUCUUUGCCUCAUAAAUUAUUUUGGCCCAGUCUCCCCCUGCGAGAUAGGACAUGAGAGCAAGAGCUGGCAGUAUGGGUUCUGCUCCCAGCUUUGGCACUGACCUGCUGUGUGACCUCGGACAACUCACUUCACCUCCCCUGAGCUUCUGUUUCCCCUCCUCUCCUUUGUCUGCCUUGUUUAUUUGGACUGUCAACUCCUCAAGAAAGGAAUUCAGCCUCCCUGGCUGCUUGAAGAUUGCGUAGCAUGAUGGGAGCCCAAUUGGACUUGCUCCUGGGAGGUACUACAGUAAAAAAGCUCAUAAUGAUGACUAAAAACUAGCACUUGCUAAACAAUUGUAUGGGAGUUUUUAAUAUUAAAUGUCAUACAUGAACUAGCAGGACAUCUCUGGCAGAUCAGAGAGCUUGUCCAGGGGCAACAACUGUUGUUUUGUUCCUUUUGCAUGGCCACACCGAAGGCGGUAUCUACCAGCCCCAUAAAUUUUGACAUCUUCUCCCUGUCCCAGCUGCACAGUGGGAGGAGUGGGAAGGAUCUGCCAGAAAUAGGGAAUGUUUGUUGGAGGUAAUGAAGAAGGCUUCUCUUGGAGUCCUCCCCCUCGCAAACAUCUGGACAGAUAACAGCUCUUCCGAGAAAGAUUGAAAGAGUUGGGGAGGCCUCCUGGAAAGGGCAGGGAAAUGCUCCACUUUGAAGCUGGUCAGAGUCAAGGGCAGAAAGGUUGAGAGAGGCUGCAGGGGCUAAUGCAGACCCUGUCACCCAGGGGUCAGGGAUGGAACAAACGAAAUCAAGGACACCAAAAGCCUAUGGGACAGAUCAUCUUUGGGUGAAACCACAAGAGCCAUGAUUUCAGAAUACACUUCUUUCAGGCAAGUGCUGCAGCUUUGAAAUCCAUUUAACCAUAUGAAUGGCCUCAAGAGGUGUAAUGAAGGAUUUGCCAUUGCAUUCAUGGCUCUGGAGGAGACUCCAUGCUCACCCACUGGCUUUUGCUUCACUCACAGUGCCCCCGCCAGUGCCACCGCUGUCCCUCAGCCAGCAGCAUGCCCUCCUCUUCUGGUUAACUGCCCCACAACUGGUACACAAGGACACCCUGAUAUGGCAAGAAUCACAUCGUUUACACUACAGGCCACUCCACAGCUGCAGCUAGGAGCAAGUCGUUUCUCUAAUGUACCAAGUUUGCUUUCAAAAAAGGUCUAUUCUGCUACCCUUUUGGCAGCAGCCUGCAGCUUGACCAACUCCAUUGGUAUACUUGUUUCCUUUUAAAAUGUCUUAAAGGUAUUGCAUGGAUUAGCCUGUCAUUGGCUUUCUCAAGCCCCAGAGAUACAGAGGAGUCUACUGUGAGUACUGUGGAAAGCAGCUCCUUAAGUGAUGCUUUCCAGUUGACAGGACAGGAGUGCAGGCAGUACUUUCUGAAAGCCAAACCACAUGUUAACCCAUCAACCAGAAGCCAAUCCAGAACUGUCCUCCCCCAAGUACUGUUCUCCAGUGCUUUGCCCAUUUAUGCCUGUGCUAGUGAAGGUCCUUUUCCCUGCCUGCCCACCCUGCAGGCACAUCCCUGUGGUGUGAGUCCUUCCAACCUUGUCAAUGCCUGGGAGCACACAGGGGCUCCUUCUGUCUCCAAAUGCAACAGGUGGCAUAACAAAGACACAGAUGAUCUAAGCAAAUAGACUCCACCUGUCCUAAAUUCCCUACUUCCCACUGCAG